CCCACAUCCGCUAUGCUGACACCCAAGGGAAUGACUAUCAAACUUGGUUGGAUUAUCACUCAGGGAUCACAGCCUUGCUUCUCUUAUUGGCACAGCUUCAUGAAUAUCGAAGAGGAAAUAUUCUGUCCCCAUGACUUUCGCCCUCUACUGGCUAAAAGCAGAUCCUUCCAAUGUAUUUGACUAUGUUGCCCCCUACGGAUCCAGCUUAGAGACUCUCUGGCCUAGUUUCCAAAGAACGAUACUGGUUCACAUUUGUCAGAAGAUAUCAGAGCACAGAAGUGACUCCAAUCCUCGAAGUCCACUUCCAAGGACUGAGAAAUCUUGAGAACCUUGGAAAAGUGUAAGCCAGUACUGACAAUUAGAAGGAUUGGAUUCGUGCAAUGGCAAAAUUGCUGCCUUCACAUGAUAUCCUGGAUUGCAGCGAAUGGAGGGUAUAAAUUGUCUGAUGCUGUGGAUGAAAUUGGCUAUUGCAUGAGAUUUUAGUUCUCAUUCGUCGGCUCCAUUCUCCCAGGUCACACAGCCUCUGGAGUGUGGGUGUGGGAGGUUACUGUCCCGAAGGUCGGGACAACUACAACUGGUGCCCAACGUGGGGCUCGACUGUUCCCAGGAGAGGAGAACUUCAGUGUUCAUUAGAGAGACAAGCUUGUCCAUGCUCUAAGGCACCAGAGACACAGUCGAUUUUGGACCUUGAGGGGAAGACACCCAGCAGCCUUACCCAGAGCUCGGGAUCUUCGGGUUCAUGAACACCACCUGAGGCAGAGGUGAAUAAUACAACAAAAUAUUUUUUUUUUUUUGAGCAAGAAAGAUUUGUAUCUUUUUAGGAUCAAAGAAUCCCUCAAGAUUCAAGGAACUAGUGUUAAGAAAAAAGAUUUAAU